GCCCGCUUGCGUCUCUGCCCUCGGGCGCUUGCUUUCUCACCCUCCUAUGGCUUCGCUGGCCCCUCCCCUCCAAUCGCGCCCUUCCCUCUCCCCCUCUCUGCGCCUCAAGAAGAGCUGCGCCCCCCGCGUGUCCGCCACGCUCGUCGUCUCAAACGUGGUUGCUGCUGAAACAUCCCUAAGUUGGUCCUCAAAAGAGAAACUCAAUCUUUCAAGUAAAUGGAAUCAGAGCUCCCUCCAAGAAAUUGAUUGGGAAAACUUGGAGGUUGAUUUGUAUCACUGGACGAGGCCAUUGCGGCCUGUGCAGUGGUACCCUGGUCAUAUUGCUAAAACGGAAAAAGAACUAAAGGAGCAGCUGAAGUUAAUGGAUGUUGUCAUAGAGGUUCGAGAUGCUAGGAUUCCCAUGGCUACUAGUCAUCCUCAGAUGGAUUCCUGGCUUGGAACUCGGAAAAAGAUUUUAGUUUUGAAUAGAGAAGACAUGAUAUCUGCUGCAGACAGAAAUGCAUGGGCGACAUUCUUUGCAAGGCAGGGAAUAAAAGUUGUUUUCUCUAAUGGGCAGCUUGGAAUGGGAACCAUGAAACUUGGGAGACUUGCAAAGUCAUUAGCUGUUAGUGUGAAUACCAAACGUAGAGCAAAAGGACUACUCCCUCGUCCAGUGCGUGCUGGAAUAGUUGGUUAUCCCAAUGUAGGUAAAUCAUCUCUAAUUAACCGUUUGCUGAAGCGAAGGAUGUGUCCAGCUGCUCCUAGACCUGGAGUUACAAGAGAACUGAAAUGGGUACGUUUUGGUAAAGAUCUGGAGUUGUUGGACUCUCCUGGCAUAUUGCCAAUGAGAAUUAGUGACCAGGCAGCUGCUAUCAAGCUUGCAAUAUGUGAUGACAUUGGGGAGAGGUCAUACGAUGUCGCUGAUGUAGCAGCCAUUCUCGUGCAAAUGUUGAUAAGACUUCCUGAAGUAGGUUCAGAAACUCUUCGCAAACGCUACAGGAUUGAUUUACAUGAUCAGUGUGGUAAAACAUUUCUUCAGAAGCUUGCUCUUCAACUGUUCAAUGGAGAUGUUAGCCAGGCAGCUUUCCGCAUCUUGAGUGACUUCAGGAAGGGAAAGUUUGGUCGGGUUGCCUUAGAAAGACCUCCCAGGUGAAGCUGUUACUAUUGAAUUUCUGUAUAUUCUUCAACAGUACUUAGCCCUAGAAGAGAUAAACGAGAAGAAUAUCCUGUAAGCAACUCCUCCUGAACUUGGCGCGACUAUUGGAAAGAAGAUGGAGCACCUAAGUCCUCACAUGCAAAAUUACAUGGAUAGGUUUGAGCCAAGGCCAUAGAAGUGGUGGUGGAGAUCCUAGUGACUUCUCCAACCUCCGUUUUUGUUGCCCCCACAAGGAGGAUCAGAGGAACCAAUCAUCUGCCCUGCACUUGCUUUAGAAAAGUCCACUUGCUGCUGUGUCAAUCUUCAGUUGUAGAUGAGGUGGUUCAUCAGAGGAUAAUAAAUGCUUUGAGCUGGGCAAGAAGAAAGCUACAUUGUCAUUGUUCCAUUCUUGGUUUCACAGAGAUCCUUUCCUCUUUUUCCCCGCAUGCGAAGUUGCAAACAAGCAGAUCACAGGCUGCUAUCAAUUACUGUUUAAUGAAACUACCAACUGUGGAUGUGUUUGGAUAUAGUUUAAUGGUCUCCCCUCCUCUCUCUUCUUAGUUCCUUUUCCAGUCUGGAGUAGUUAAGCUGCACCUUUCCUUGCCCCUUCUAGUUUUCAAGUGGGAUUUAAGAUUAUUUAAGCAAGCAUGUUUUGUAAUAAUGUUAAGCAUUCUGCUUCAAUAUGAAUCCUAUGUCCAAUCUUUUAA